GUACUGCUUCUUCAGCAUCUCCAGCUUCUCCGCCACCUGGGUGGGAUCAGGGACCGGGGCCUCAGACACAGGACUCGAGGCCAGUUUGUUCCGGCUCAGGUCACGACUCCGUCAGGCGCUCCUUGGUCACGAAGCUCAAGGCUGGGGAGGGACGCGAGCUCCUGAGACCGAAGGCAGCGCGCAAGAGAGGAGCAGACAGCUCAGCAAGGACCGCCACGCCCACCUGAG